UACAGAGGGGCAAGCGUUGUUCGGAAUUACUGGGCGUAAAGGGCGCGUAGGCGGCCUGCUAAGUCGAACGUGAAUCCCCGGGCUCAACCCGGGAACUGCGUCCGAUACUGGCAGGCUUGAAUUCGGGAGAGGGAUGCGGAAUUCCAGGUGUAGCGGUGAAAUGCGUAGAUAUCUGGAGGAACACCGGUGGCGAAGGCGGCCUUCUGGACCAGUGACUGA
rnacentral:rRNA from 1 species